GGCCGAAAGGCGUAGUCGAUGGGAAACAGGUUAAUAUUCCUGUACUUGGUGUUACUGCGAAGGGGGGACGGAGAAGGCUAUGUUGGCCGGGCGACGGUUGUCCCGGUUUAAGCGUGUAGGCUGGUUUUCCAGGCAAAUCCGGAAAAUCAAGGCUGAGGCGUGAUGACGAGGCACUACGGUGCUGAAGCAACAAAUGCCCUGCUUCCAGGAAAAGCCUCUAAGCAUCAGGUAACAUCAAAUCGUACCCCAAACCGACACAGGUGGUCAGGUAGAGAAUACCAAGGCGCUUGAGAGAACUCGGGUGAAGGAACUAGGCAAAAUGGUGCCGUAACUUC
rnacentral:rRNA from 1 species